AUCGCCCUGCUCUAGUCGCAGCUAUGCUGGGAAUGUGAGCCUCUGCUCUACCAGGACUGGACUGGAGAAGCCCACAACUCUAUUUAAGGAAAUGGCAGUGAGGGGCCCAUCAGCCGCUCUCUUUGCCUCUUCGUUUCUCUGUGUUUUCCCUUGGUCAAUGCCACAUUCCUUUCCUUAUACAAUUAUUUUCCUUUGUGCAAGAAAGGUUUAUAUGCAUACCUGCUUGGAAGAAGUAGCACACAUUUACACACACACAGACAAGUGUAUGUACCAACCACUCACUAGUGUACUGGUGGUGUGGUUUGGGUAAUUGUUUCCGGUACAUUUGUGACCUUAAUAGGGAUGCAGCUUUGUAAAGUGCUUUAGUGCUGUGGUCUGUUAAACAACAAAAUCAACCACGAGCCAGAGAAAAGUGCGAAGGAAGGGGAAGGUUUCAGCCUACUUGCAGAGGGGAAAAAAAGCCACAAGUUAAAGAAAGGUAUUAAAGUUUAAAGGUUUUAAACUGCAGUCACUGAAGGCAAAACUGAAUGCACAGAGACCCUCAAACAAGCAGCAGGUGAUAGUGGCUGCAGUAAAGCAGAGCAUCUCAAGGGAAGAAGCCCAACAUUUAGUGAUGUCCAUGGGUUGUAGACUUCAGUCGCCGACUGACAGUCGGUGACUGAUUUUCCUUUAAAUAUUUUAAACAAUCCUGAUGUUUAAAAUUGAACAAACUGCCAAUUACUUCUAAACCUUUGAAAAUGGGGCACUGUGCAUGAAAAUGCUAAACAUUUACUGGAAAACCCGAGUGAAAACCCUUGUGUUACGUGCCAAGAGAUGUGGCUUUGCUUUUGUGUUCUUUUUAUCUUUCAGGUGUCAAGCCUCCACCUAUUGGCCAGUUCAAAGUUGAUUGGCAUGUGUCUAUUGGCUGGUCUGGGCACAGUUGGCCAAUCACUCUCCAGGGAUCACUACAAAUGAGCAGCUCCCUGGCCAGCUGGUGGCUGCUGGCUUCUGCCUUAUGACAAACAUUGGUAUGAAGACUUCUGUGUGUUUUGAGAGUGUGUGGUGGGAGGCUGGACAGAUUUUUUUUUCCAAUCCAAAAAAGGAUCAGAGACCUUGGUUCAGAGCAUAUUCUCUGCUUGGAGAGUGAGACAUCUUUAACAGGUUUGAUGUACAACAGUCAGUUGGAUGUAUCAGCACCAACCACCAGUAACAGAGGGCAACAUCCCUCUCUCACACCGAGUAUUAUCGAUACUAAUCUGAUAUCAGUGCAUACUGUGAGGAAGAGAUUGGAGGUGUUAACGCUUGAUUCCCAAACUACUGACACUUUGCUGCUAGCUUCCUCAAUGUUACACUGGUUCUCCUGCAACUGCUCCUAUCACUCUCAAGUGCUGAAGUAAGCACAAAACUGAUCUGAAAAGACUGGUUUAUUGAUCCACACUCUGUCACCAAUAUGUGUUCUAGCUUUUUCAAUCAGUGGUUCGGGGAUUUGAACCUGCAACUGUAUAUACACAGACAUAUUAAAAAUUUGGGACGUAACAAUUCCCCAGAUCAAUGUUUUUUUACUUAUACAUCAAUUUACCUCUGUUUUUGUAUGGCUUUAAUGUUUUGUUUUGUUGAGAAAAACAAACAAAUGAGAAAUAAAACAAGUAUCAUCACUUGUUCCUAGCUGGGUCAGCUUCCAUUAGAUCUGGAUGUUUUAACCAGGAAUUAACAGCUCCACAUGACCAAUUAGGAUAAGUCAGAGUCUCACAAUACAUAAAGACAGAGUCACAACACAAUGCUGUGCACUUUUCACACCUCUAACAAAUACCUUUAUUUGGGGUAGCUCCUGUAGGGGUCUCCUGUCCAACACUCACAGACAUGGAUGAAGAUUACUUGAAAACUACACUGGCUGGUAAAUAUAACAGAUCAUAAUGCUAAACUAGACUUCUUUUAAGAAAAUGAAUCGAAUGAAAAAUUCUCCAGCCUCCUUUGUUAGGAAUUCAACUGUCUUGUGAGAAUAAAUAAAUAAAAUCAGCGUUUUGCUAGCUGUAAAAUUAGGAGCCACAGUGAACAUAACUGACUUAAAUAUCGCCACAAAGACCAUAAGUCUAUCUCACAUGAUGGAGCGCAUUCUGAAAAGUAAAAAAAAUAAUUAAAAAAAUAAAAGAGGAACAGCUGAUGAAUUAGAAGACGACAGCCCUCCUCCAUCUGCUGUGUCUUCAUUUUGCUUUGAUCUCUGGCACUAUGAACAAGCCUGACUUUGGGAGGGGUCGCCCAUGAGAAUUUCAUAAACUGCGCCUUGAUGUCUCCAGUUUUACUCAACAAUAACAAAGACCAGCCUGUAUUAACCGAAGCCCCUGACUGUGGUACACCCUGAUAGAAACUCUGUAACAUCUGUGAGUAUCACUUCAGGCAGGUUCGCUGUGAUGGCCCAGUGUUACCGCAUACAGCUGUUGCCAUAGGUGCACGGAGACACUUUCUCUCUUCUGCAGCAGCAGCAGCACCGCUUCAUUCUAUUUUUCAUGAGCUCAGUCGGUUGCCAGGGUGUUAGUUUCCAUGGCCACACUGCAGUCUGAUGAAACAAAAACCAAACCAGAACACACGCCCGCACCCCACUACCUCAGUUGUCUUGGCCCAGUACCCUUUAUUGCCCGGGGACCACCACGGCAAUAAAGGCUGGCACACUAACCGACUGCCAUCUCCAACCACCCGUGGUGCCAGCUGAGGUAACAUGUGCUAGUUCUCAACCUCCUCUCACUCUCAUCUACUGACCAGCCAGAGUGCAGCACAACACCAUCAAUGAUUCAGCAAUUUACCACUCCUGAUGGAUCUACAGGAACACCUCACACAGGAAGUUUCUUCUAAUGCCCUUGGGAUGCCUGCACCAUUAUUUUCUAGCGUGCCUGUUACAAGAUUGAGAACUACAAUGGAAAAAUGGAAAAAACACAUUUCUUUUUAAAUGAGUGAAAAACCUGACCAGAAACAGCUAAACUGUCACAGUGACUGUGAUAACUGCUGCAUCAAUGGAUUCCAACUCUGUAAGUGGAGAAGAUGUAUCACUCUUUCCUCUUCUGUAAUAACUGCUGGCAACUCCCAGAUUUCAGAAAUAUGCCUGAAAAAAUCUAAAAGCACAAAAUCAACUUUGGGUUUGGAUUUUUUUCCAAUUUCGCAGUUCACUCCUUUAUGAUAAGAAGAGUGAAGUUGCUGAAGGAGAAGAGUGCAGUGUGAAGAACAAACAAGUAACCGUAGUGUCUGUGAAGGUUCUCAGUAACCGUAACCGUAGUGUUCGUGAGUGCCUGUAAAUGCAUCUAACCAAGCAUGUGGUAG